AUGGCGUACAAUUUGGCACUUCCAGAGGACAGUCGCAUCCACCCGGUUUUUCAUGUACCCCAGCUCAAGCCGUUCACACCAGAUUACUCUCCAGUCUUCUCCGAGCUACCACACACUCCAGACCUCACAGCUGCUCCGUUGCAGCCCAUUACCAUCCUCGCCCAUCGCCUUGUCAAGAAAGGUAACUCACCGGUGCUGCGGGUUCAAGUCCAAUGGUCUUCACUGUCGCCAGACUCUGCAACCUGGGAAGAUUACUCCGUGCUGCGUCACCGUUAUCCAACGGCUCCUUGCUGGGAUGCAGACAGCGCUUCCGCUCAAGGAGGGACGAAUGUCACACCUGAUGUGAGUACAUCAGUGGACUAG
rnacentral:rRNA from 1 species